GGCGAGAUAGUAUAGUGGUUAGUACAGCUGGUUCUGACGUAGUCGUUUCCAGCUAACCUGGGUUCGAUCCCCAGUCACGCCU
rfam:Rhodotorula toruloides ATCC 204091 scaffold00025, whole genome shotgun sequence.